GACGAACGCUGGCGGCGUGCCUAACACAUGCAAGUCGAGCGAAGUACUUAUCAAGAAGCCUUCGGGCAGAUUGAUAAGUACUUAGCGGCGGAUGGGUGAGUAACGCGUGAGGAACCUGCCUUCCACAAGGGGAUAGCCUCGGGAAACCGGGAUUAAUACCCUAUGAGACUUAAAGGUCCCAUGACUUUUAAGUUAAAGCGUUAGCGGUGGAAGAUGGCCUCGCGUCCCAUUAGCUAGUUGGUGAGGUAACGGCUCACCAAGGCCACGAUGGGUAGCCGGCUUGAGAGAGUGACCGGCCACACUGGAACUGAGACACGGUCCAGACUCCUACGGGAGGCAGCAGUGGGGAAUAUUGCACAAUGGAGGGAACUCUGAUGCAGCGACGCCGCGUGAGCGAUGAAGGCCUUCGGGUCGUAAAGCUCUGUCCUAUGGGACGAUAAUGACGGUACCAUAGGAGGAAGCCCCGGCUAACUACGUG
rnacentral:rRNA from 1 species